rnacentral:rRNA from 1 species
GAUGAACGCUGGCGGCGUGCCUAAUACAUGCAAGUCGAGCGAACGGACGAGAAGCUUGCUUCUCUGAUGUUAGCGGCGGACGGGUGAGUAACACGUGGAUAACCUACCUAUAAGACUGGGAUAACUUCGGGAAACCGGAGCUAAUACCGGAUAAUAUUUUGAACCGCAUGGUUCAAGAGUGAAAGACGGUCUUGCUGUCACUUAGAGAUGGAUUCGCGCUGCAUUAGCUAGUUGUUAAGGUAACGGCUUACCAAGGCAACGAUGCAUAGCCGACCUGAGAGGGGGAUCGGCCGCACUGGAACUGAGACACGGUCCCGACUCCUACGGGAGGCAGCAGUAGGGAAUCUUCCGCAAUGGGCGAAAGCAUGACGGAGCAACGCCGCGUGAGUGAUGAUGGUCUUCGGAUCGUAAAACUCUGUUAUUAGGGAAGAACAUAUGUGUAAGUAACUGUGCACAUCUUGACGGUACCUAAUCAGAAAGCCACGGCUAACUACGUG